CCUGGCCCUGCUUCUUCAUCGAGUGCCUUUCUCACAGAGAAAUGAAGGCCCUCAAGUCAGCCCGAGUGGCACAGGGCCCGAAGAUCUCUGGGGCCACAGCAGGGGCAGUGCUGGCAGCUGCUGGUCUGCACACUGGCUCUCCCCACUACUGAGCAAGUGAGCUUUCUGCCAAGCACCAUGAUGGGAGGGGACAGCUGCAGCCCUCCUUGCCCCCCUCCCCCAGAACUAUAAAAAGCCCCAACAUCCAAGUGAGCAGAGGACACGCUGAGCAGACGUGCAGAACUUUGCUGGACUUGAGCUCGGCUCAACUGCCAUGCUGAGGUUAGCCUCCGCCAGCAGGCUGCUGUCAGCCCCCCGGAGUGGCUGGGUGCUUCCCAAGGCACAUGUCUCCGCCAAGCCAGCCAGAACACCCACUUCUCCCACGGAGCAAGCCAUUGGGCUCUCAGUGAUGUUCCUCAGCUUCCUGAUGCCUGCAGGCUGGGUCCUGCACCACCUGGAGAGCUACAAGAGAAGCUCGGCAGCAUGAAGGCUCUGGGGCUCCAGCUCCAGGCACAGAAUGAAAGAUCACAUUAAACGCCUCCCUUCACUUA